UCGCGAGACGUCGACGAGGAGUCAUUUUUGUUGUGGGCAAAGUACUCCCAUUUCAGGUGAUUCCUGUUGAGGGGAUUUCUAGACUUUGAGAUCUUUAAGAACUUCACGUUUGCAGGUUUAGAAUGCUCUAGAAUGGGCAUUUAGGACAAGCUCCUGGAUGCUACAGCUCCUGCUCCUACUCAGGAUCACACUGGCCAAGGAGAUCGGUCCCUCGUUUUCACUCCUGGAAUGUAUCUGGGACAGUAGGAUAUUUUUCACAAAGAAAUGUUAGCUGAAAUACAUACUUGUAAUGAGAUGUUGCAUGUCUCAGCUCAGGUGUAAAAGUGUCUUGUAGCAGUCACAUGAGUGGUGAAGAAUGACAAUCCUUGUCUGUGCUCCUGGGUCACAUUUUUCCAAUGCAAAGCAGUUGAGUUUACAGCACCAGCCUGAACUUACGCAUCAGCACCAUCGUGUCCACUUCAGUGGAUCAAGAAAUAUACUCAAUGCUUUGCCUCACAAUGAGUCAUCAAAUAGUACUGCACUAUUUGAUUAUUAAAAAGUUCCUGAUUUCUUAAUAUUUUUCAGACUUUAGCUUUUGGGGUGCCUAACAGAAGUUAGAGGUUUAAAACUUUUGUAUGUCUGGCUGAGUGUGGAGGUAGAGGCCAGAAGUGGAUGUUAGAUCAUCUGGAACAGGCUACUGUGAACUCUGGUUCACAGAGUGGUUACCCAGUGUGGGUACUGGGAACUGAACCAGAGGCUUCUGCAAGAGCAACAAGUGCUCUUAUUUUUAAACCUUCUAUCAAGCCUGCUGAAUUGUGAUGAAAUACAAAAACAAAGAAAAGGGAAAAUGGGGGAAAAAAUAAAACUACAACCAUAUAUGAGACUCUUUGUUUGGUUUUGAUGCAGGGAAGGGAGUGAAGAUAUGGAGGAUGGGUUUCUUGCAUGUGUGAGAAUCUUUACACACAAAAUUUGUUAUCUCCUUUGAGGUUAGAUCAGAAGCAAGUCUCUCUCACUACCCCCUGCACUCCCACCCAGUACAGUACAUGGGACAUAGUUUGGUACUGAAGAAAAUCACUUGUUAAGCUGAAUUAAGUACCUUUGGAAUGUAUCUAUAUACUUAAGAACACAUUUUAAGACAUACAGCAGCUGUGUACAGUACAGUAAGGUUUUUAUCCAGUGGUCUCUCUCCACAUGGUUGGUAAGAAUAUAUAACAUAAAAAAUCAUGGGGUAUACGUGUGAUUUCCAAAGGCAAAAUUAAAAAACUAACAAAAAAACCAAAUCUUUAAAUCCAUGUUAUGAAUUAUUUGGAGCAAAGAAAAAUGUUUGAGUCUGAUAAACUAGCAUUAUUUCCUGGUGAAAUUAUUCAAGGUCAGUGUUUGUAGGAGUGGGGGAUAAAGUGCACAUUUAGUAAGUAGUGUCCUUGUUACUUGUGAGUACACUGAAAACAAUAAAGAGAAAUGUUUCAACGUA